AGAGUUUGAUCCUGGCUCAGGACGAACGCUGGCGGCGUGCCUAACACAUGCAAGUCGAGCGGGAACCUCAGGAGGGGUAACCCUUCUGAGGGGAGAGCGGCGAACGGGUGAGUAACACGUGGGCAACCUGCCCCGGACACCGGGAUAACCCAGGGAAACCUGAGCUAAUACCGGAUACUCCGGCGUGAUCGCAUGGUCGCGUCGGGAAAGCUCCGACGGUCCGGGAUGGGCCCGCGGCCUAUCAGCUUGUUGGUGGGGUAACGGCCCACCAAGGCGACGACGGGUAGCUGGUCUGAGAGGACGGCCAGCCACACUGGGACUGAGACACGGCCCAGACUCCUACGGGAGGCAGCAGUGGGGGAUCUUGCGCUAAUGCGCGAAAGCGUGACGCAGCGACGCCGCGUGGGGGAUGAAGGCCUUCGGGUUGUAAACCCCUUUCGGCAGGGACGAAGGGAAACUGACGGUACCUGCAGAAGAAGUCCCGGCUAACUACGUGCCAGCAGCCGCGGUAACACGUAGGGGACGAGCGUUGUCCGGAUUCAUUGGGCGUAAAGCGCGCGUAGGCGGCUCGGAAAGUCGGGCGUGAAAUGCCGGGGCUCAACCCCGGGACUGCGUCCGAUACUUCCGAGCUGGAGGUAGGUAGGGGAGAUCGGAAUUCCUGGUGUAGCAGUGAAAUGCGCAGAUAUCAGGAGGAACACCGGUGGCGAAGGCGGAUCUCUGGGCCUUACCUGACGCUGAGGCGCGAAAGCUAGGGGAGCGAACAGGAUUAGAUACCCUGGUAGUCCUAGCCGUAAACGUUGGGUGCUAGGUGUGGGUGGACAUCGACCCCAUCCGUGCCGAAGCUAACGCAUUAAGCACCCCGCCUGGGGAGUACGGCCGCAAG
rnacentral:rRNA from 1 species